rnacentral:rRNA from 1 species
ACAGCAAUAUGAAGGUCAGGCUGAAGACCUUACCCGAUUAGCUGAGAGGUGGUGCAUGGCCGUCGUCAGUUCGUACUGUGAAGCAUCCUGUUAAGUCAGGCAACGAGCGAGACCCACGUCCACAGUUGCCAGCAUACCCUCCGGGGUGAUGGGUACACUGUGGAGACCGCCGCUGCUAAAGCGGAGGAAGGAGUGGGCAACGGUAGGUCAGUAUGCCCCGAAUCUCCCGGGCUACACGCGGGCUACAAUGGUUGGUACAAUGGGCAUCUACCCCGAAAGGGGAAGGAAAUCUCUUAAAGCCAAUCGUAGUUCGGAUUGAGGGCUACAACUCGCCCUCAUGAAGCUGGAAUCCGUAGUAAUCGCGUUUCAACAGAACGCGGUGAAUACGUCCCUGCUCCUU